rnacentral:rRNA from 1 species
GACGAACGCUGGCGGCGUGCUUAACACAUGCAAGUCGAACGGAAAGGCCCUGCUUUUGUGGGGUGCUCGAGUGGCGAACGGGUGAGUAACACGUGAGUAACCUGCCCUUGACUUUGGGUUAACUUCAGGAAACUGGGGCUAAUACCGGAUAGAACCUCCUGCUGCAUGGUGGGGGUUGGAAAGUUUCGGCGGUUGGGGAUGGACUCGCGGCUUAUCAGCUUGUUGGUGGGGUAGUGGCUUACCAAGGCUUUGACGGGUAGCCGGCCUGAGAGGGUGACCGGCCACAUUGGGACUGAGAUACGGCCCAGACUCCUACGGGAGGCAGCAGUGGGGAAUAUUGCACAAUGGGCGGAAGCCUGAUGCAGCAACGCCGCGUGCGGGAUGACGGCCUUCGGGUUGUAAACCGCUUUCGCCUGUGACGAAGCGUGAGUGACGGUAAUGGGUAAAGAAGCACCGGCUAACUACGUG